GGUAAGAUGGCUGAGUGUUUAAGCGGUGGACUGUAGUUCCACAAAUGGGGGUUAAAUUCCUCUUCUUUCCA
rnacentral:tRNA from 1 species